UACGUAGGGACCAAGCGUUGUUCGGAUUUACUGGGCGUAAAGGGCGCGUAGGCGGCAAUUCAAGUCAUCUGUGAAAUCUCCGAGCUUAACUCGGAACGGUCAGAUGAUACUGCUUUGCUAGAGUGCAGAAGGGGCAAUCGGAAUUCUUGGUGUAGCGGUGAAAUGCGUAGAUAUCGAGAGGAACACCUGCGGCGAAGGCGGGUUGCUGGGCUGACACUGACGCUGAAGCGCGAAAGCUAGGGGAGCGAACGGG
rnacentral:rRNA from 1 species